UAAUAGCCCAGAUAGAAAUAAAAAUCCUUGAUUGCCGGUGUUCGGCAUGCAAGAUUGCAAAGGAUAGCUGGAAUAGCU
rnacentral:sRNA from 1 species